GGCCAGACUCCUACGGGAGGCAGCAGUGGGGAAUAUUGCACAAUGGGCGCAAGCCUGAUGCAGCCAUGCCGCGUGUAUGAAGAAGGCCUUCGGGUUGUAAAGUACUUUCAGCGGGGAGGAAGGCGAUAAGGUUAAUAACCUUGUUGAUUGACGUUACCCGCAGAAGGGGCACCGGCUAACUCCGUGCCAGCAGCCGCGGUAAUACGGAGGGUGCAAGCGUUAAUCGGAAUUACUGGGCGCAAAGCGCACGCAGGCGGGCUGUCAAGUCGGAUGUGAAAUCCCCGGUCUCAACCUGGGAACUGCAUUCGAAACUGGCAGGCUGGAGUCUUGUAGAGGGGGGUAGAAUUCCAGGUGUAGCGGUGAAAUGCGUAGAGAUCUGGAGGAAUCCCGGUGGCGAAGGCGGCCCCCUGGACAAAGACUGACGCUCAGGUGCGAAAGCGUGGGGAGCACACAGGAUUAGAUACCCCCGUAA
rnacentral:rRNA from 1 species